UGCCUCUGGUUUUGGACUUAGUCUCAGAGCCGUUUCUCCUCAGAUUUGGACUUUAACUUUUGAGCGGAGUCACAGAGUCAGAUAGUGGAAUAAUUGGACGGAUAAGGAAGGUAGUCUCCCACUACAUUUUGGCGAGCUAGCCAGGAGGAGCGGCCCGGUACACAGCCUGCGGCGGCGGACCGGGAGGGACGGGACGGCGGAUCUCAGGCGCGCCCCACAUACACCAUUAAGGGAUAUAUUUAUAUCUUUUCUUCAUUUACGAGUGAUACCGUCUACUCCUUCCCAGCCCCAAGUCUCAGCCAGCUUCUACUGACUACUGACUGCGGAGUCGAGAUCACUGAGGGGAUGAUGUUCCCCGACCCCGUGCUGAGGCAAACAAGGAAGCAGACUGUCAUUGAGAUCCAGAAGUGUUUUAUACACAGGCCAUGUCAGCCAAACAAAUUGAAGGAGGCUACAGAGGUAUCACCUGACACAAAGACUGGAGUCGGGUGGGCCACAGAGUCCUGGACAAAGAUGGCAGGCACUGCACAACAGCCAGAGGAAAAGGAGACUGGGCCCGUAUCAAAUUAUCAAGGAAAGUGCAACAGCACUGACCAGAUAAGCUAUGCUGCAGAAGUAAGGUUAUGGGAACCCCGAGCUUAAUCAUCAAGAAGGGAGAGAUCCAGAGGAAUCCUGACCACAUGCACCAGCUAAAGGUGUCUGUUCAUUUCCCAGGAUUCACCUUGACACAGCCAAAGGAGACAGCAGAGGUCAGAGGUCUGAACUUUGAGCAGCACAUACACAAGACACACACACACACACACACACACACACACACACACACACACACACACACACACACACAGAGGGAAACACUGAUUGAAUGUUAAAGUCUAAGCUUUGCUUUCUGGCAGUAUUUGAUAGCUUUAGGGCUCUAAGCAAGUUUGAUUUUUAGAAAUAUAAAAGAUGCACAUUCUGUUGUUAUCCUGUUGUUGACUGUUAGACUAGGUUAAAGAAAAUAUCCACUCAGCCCUAGGGCUGUCAAGGUCAUUGCUCAUUCAUCAGGGUGCCAUUGUUGACUCUCUCAUUUCACCAUGUACCUCCCCCAUCUUGCCCGAAAAAGAAACCAAAAAAAAAAAAAAAAAGGGGGGGGAGAGAUUUUUAAAAUACUUUAGGGUCAUAAAUUAAGAUGCUGUAAUGACUGUGGGUUUUCAGUUACUGAUUUAACAAAUGCAUAUUCUAGCAUUCCUGUUUAUCCUGACUCACAGUUCAAGGUUGCUUUCACUAUCAAUGGUAAACUUUGUUCAUGGAUUUGGAUGCCAUAGUUUUCUUCUCCAGUCCAACUUUGUUCCAAAACCGCAAAUGAAAACAAAUGAUUGCCUUAUUGGAUUUAGCAGGCUAUUGUUGUCCAUAGAUUGAGCUUUUUCUCAUUCAUUUUUUUUUAUUCUUUUAGGCCUCCCAGACCAUAGACGUCCCUUAAAGAAAAAAAAAUCAUGAAAAUAAGACAUUUCUGAAAUGGUGUUUAUUUAAAAAAAAAAAAAAAAAAAGAGUAGUCCCACGGUGACGAAAAGUGAUUAAUAGAUCAUUAUUUUUAACUUUACGUAACUUUAACGUUAUGACCAUAUCUGAUAUAAUUAUGUGUCCUCUAACUGUUUGUGUU